UACGUAGGCAGCAAGCGUUGUUCGGAGUUACUGGGCGUAAAGGGUGUGUAGGCGGUUGUUUUAAGUUUGGUGUGAAAUCUCCCGGCUCAGCUGGGAGGGUGCGCCGAAUACUGAAUGACUAGAGUGCGGGAGAGGAAAGUGGAAUUCCUGGUGUAGCGGUGAAAUGCGUAGAUAUCAGGAGGAACACCGGUGGUGUAGACGGCUUUCUGGACCGUAACUGACGCUGAGACACGAAAGCGUGGGUAGCAAACAGG
rnacentral:rRNA from 1 species